rnacentral:tRNA from 1 species
CCUCGCCCGAGCCGCCGGAGUGCCGGCCGACCGGCUUCCGGCCGCUCUCGACGUCCUCGCGCGGCACGGACUCGUCCUGCCUCCGGCGGCGGGGC